GUGCACGUAUACGGUGGCCUGUCAGUAGAAGCUCGCGGACACACGCACGCACGCACGCACGCACGCACGGUCAUAGCGGCGACCGCUACUUCGUUGAUCUUCAGCUACAUUUGCACCGACGUGUAUAUAACGUCAUAAGCACGUGAUUGCCGUUGCCAUGACUACUCACAUUAUGAUGUGCUUCGUCAUAACGACCCUCGUGACGUCAGACGCGUCAAGUGACCUGCGGAGGUUACCUUCUUCUUUCGAGUUCACGCGGACGGCGGAAGACGAACCCGGCUUCGGCUUCGGGCGUCCUCGAGACAAUGAAUUUGAUGACGUAACGACAACGACGUUACGAUAUCCGUCGAGCAACGACCAUUAUACAACGGAUUCACCAAUGGCUGAUGUUAACAGCGACGUCAGGUGCAACUCGGACAACAUCCGGGUACGCGCGCGCGUACCGAGCGGAUUCGCCGGAGAGAUCUACGCUGACGGCUUCCAGGACGUGUCGCGCUGCCGCCAGAGGGCGUCUGGUCAGCCUAUCCUCUCGCUCACGCUUCCUCUGGGAGAGUGCGGCGUACACGCGAUCAGAGAUACAGAUGU